rnacentral:lncRNA from 1 species
UUCUGCCCUCGGUUGUGAGGUAUUCCUUCUCUUUCCUCAAUCUCCCUUCUUACUUUGCUUCGACCUUGUUUCAUCUCGUUUUCAUUUGUUCCAAGUCGAGGGAGUCGCCAUGAGUGUCUCGUCCAAGAGUUGGUCAUCUACCCCGAACCAUCCUCUACGACAUCUUUUGGUUCAGGCUUUGGUAACUCGAAGGAAGGACUAUCUAAGAUCUCUAUCAAGUCAGAUGCUGAAGAGUUGGUCGUAGAUUAGAGGGAUCCUAGAUCGGAG